UGUCUGGCUGACUGGGUCUCUGGGUCUUCCCUCCCUCCCAGUCCUGAUCCUCAGUUGUCUGGCUGACUGGGUCUCUGGGUCUUUCCUCCCUCACAGUCCUGAUCCUCAGGUGUCUGGCUGACUGGGUCUCUGGGUCUUCCCUCCCUCCCUCCCUGUCCUGAUCCACAGGUGUCUGACUGACUGGGUCUCUGGGUCAUCCCUCCCUCCCAGUCCUGAUCCUCAGGUGUCUGGCUGGCUGGGUCUCUGGGUCUUCCCUCCCUCCCAGUCCUGAUCCUCGGGUGUCUGCAUGACUGGGUCUCUGGCUCUUCCCUCCCUCCCAGUCCUGAUCCUCAGGUGUCUGGCUGACUGGGUCUCUGGGUCUUCCCUCCCUCCCUGUGCUGAUUCUCAGGUAUCUGGCUGACUGGGUCUCCAGACAAAGGGUGUCCCCCACCAUCCAUUCACAAGCCACAGGUCGGGGCCUGAAAGAUGUGCCAGACCUGCCAAACAUUGGCCUCCACCUCGCCCUGCAGACAUGGCUAAACUCAAACACACAGAUCAUACACACACACACACACGCAUCUUUCAACAAACAUACCGUACUUCCUCGUACAGACACACACAGUUUCACAAUCACACCCAUGUUCACAUGAAAGAACACACAUUUUUUACAUUGACAUUUUUUGUCAUUUAGCAGAUGAUCUUAGCCAGCAAUUAGGGUUAAGCGCCUUGCUCAAUGGCACAUCAAAAGAUUUCUCACCUCGUCGACUGCCCAACACUCUGAACCACUAGGCCACAUUAAGCCCACACACAAGCACACCAGGUGCGCAACGUUCGCAACAUGUCCCCCCCACAUUCUGAAAUUGCAUUUUUGUCCCCGCCAGUUUUAUCAUUGGAAUGUGAUAUAAAACAGGGCAACAGUGUGCUUUGGGACCAUGCGGACGCCUCCGAGCGGUCGGGUACAGACACACAUACGCACACAGUUUCACAAUCACACCCAUGUACACAUGCAUGCAAACACACACACACUUACUCACACACACACACUUACUCACACACACACACUUACUCACACACACACACACACACACACACACACACACACACACACACACACACACACACACACACACACACACACACACACACACACACACACACACACACACACACACACACACACACACACACUCU